GAUCAGGUGGCCGAGUUGGUCUAAGGCGUACGGUUCAGGUCCGUAUCUCUUCGGAGGCGCGAGUUCGAAUCUCGUCCUGAUCA
rfam:Salpingoeca sp. ATCC 50818 unplaced genomic scaffold supercont1.1, whole genome shotgun sequence.